rnacentral:rRNA from 1 species
GACGAACCGUGCGAACGUUAUUCGGAAUCACUGGGCUUAAAGGGUGCGUAGGCGGGUUGCCAAGUCUGUGGUGAAAUCCUCCAGCUUAACUGGAGAACUGCCGUGGAUACUGGCGACCUCGAGGGGUGUAGGGGCUUGCGGAACUGUGCGUGGAGCGGUGAAAUGCGUAGAUAUCUGGAGGAACACCGGUGGCGAAGGCGGCAUCCUGGACCAAUAUUGACGCUGAGGAGCGAAAGCCAGGGGAGCAAACGGG